UUCUAAUCGAAACUUAAAAAACAUGGGCUCCGAUAAAUUAUAAAAUACAGAAGAUGUUCGUGAGAUGUUAGUUGUUUCGGAUUGAUGAAGACAGGUGAAUCAAAUAUACAUAAUAUGUAGUUCGAUCAUUGAAGCCUAGAAUCGUUGAGUUGUGCGCUGAGUUUUCCUGGAAAAUCUGCAUUCAGCUUACAGUGGACUCAAAAGUUAUCUGCACCUCAAAAUUGAAAAUCCCUACCCUCCUGGACGAAACUUUUUGAAACGCACUUUUCAUAUAAUUUCCAUAGUGAUAUCCUAAUUCGUCAAGCCGAGUCCAACCAGAAGCAUAACAAAAGCAAUGAAGCUUCAUCCUAAAAUCGAUGAAUGAGUUUUGGAGAUAAAUAUUUGAACAUUCAGUUUGAUCAACGAUCUGAAUACAGAAACCAGAUAUAAGAUUUUUAGUUACAAAUCAAUUCACAGGAUGCUUUUCACGGUCGAAGAUAGAAGGUGUUAUAAACAAUU